GGUGAAGCUGAGCACUCUAGACGAACUGCCGUUGACAAAACGGAGGAAGGUGGGGAUGACGUCAAAUCAUCAUGCCCUUAUGUUCUGGGCUACAUACGUGCUACAAUGGCCGGUACAGACGGAGGCGAAGCGCGAGGCGGAACAAAUCCGAAAAAGCCGGUCUCAGUUCGGAUUGCAGGCUGCAAUUCGCCUGCAUGAAGUCGGAAUCGCUAGUAAUCGCAGGUCAGCAUACUGCGGUGAAUACGUUCCCGGGCCUU
rnacentral:rRNA from 1 species